rnacentral:tRNA from 1 species
GCGGGAAUAGCUCAGUUGGUAGAGCGCCACGUUGCCAACGUGGUUGUCGCGGGUUCAAGUCCCGUUUCCCGCUCCA